UACGUAGGGGGCAAGCGUUGUCCGGAUUUAUUGGACGUAAAGCGCUCGCAGGUGGUCCGAUGCGUCGUGCGUGAAAGACCCCGGCUCAACUGGGGAGUGUCGUGCGAUACGGUCGGACUGGAGGCCAGUAGGGGGAUGCGGAAUUCCGGGUGUAGUGGUGGAAUGCGUAGAGAUCCGGAGGAACACCAGCGGCGAAGGCGGCAUCCUGGACUGGUCCUGACACUCAUGAGCGAAAGCGUGGGGAGCGAUCCGG
rnacentral:rRNA from 1 species